rnacentral:rRNA from 1 species
AUUGAACGCUGGCGGCAGGCCUAACACAUGCAAGUCGAGCGGAGCGGCAGACGGGUGAGUAAUGCCUAGGCAUCUGCCUGUUCGUGGUGGAUAAGGUCCGGAAACGGGCGCUAAUACCACAUACUAUCAGAUUAGCCUGUGUCGGAUUAGCUAGUUGGGGGGGUAAAGGCCUACCAAGGCGACGAUCCGUAACUGGUCUGAGAGGAUGAUCAGGCACACUGGAACUGAGACACGGUCCAGACGCCUACGGGAGGCAGCAGUGGGGAAUAUUGGACAAUGGGCGAAAGCCUGAUCCAGCCAUGCCGCGUGUGUGAAGAAGGUCUUCGGAUUGUAAAGCACUUUAAGUUGGGAGGCGUUACCCACAGAAGAAGCACCGGCUAACUCCGUGCCAGCAGCCGCGGUAAUAC